rnacentral:rRNA from 1 species
UGGGGAAUAUUGCACAAUGGGCGCAAGCCUGAUGCAGCCAUGCCGCGUGUGUGAAGAAGGCCUUCGGGUUGUAAAGCACUUUCAGCGAGGAGGAAGGUGGUGAGCUUAAUACGCUCAUCAAUUGACGUUACUCGCAGAAGAAGCACCGGCUAACUCCGUGCCAGCAGCCGCGGUAAUACGGAGGGUGCAAGCGUUAAUCGGAAUUACUGGGCGUAAAGCGCACGCAGGCGGUUUGUUAAGUCAGAUGUGAAAUCCCCGGGCUCAACCUGGGAACUGCAUUUGAAACUGGCAAGCUAGAGUCUCGUAGAGGGGGGUAGAAUUCCAGGUGUAGCGGUGAAAUGCGUAGAGAUCUGGAGGAAUACCGGUGGCGAAGGCGGCCCCCUGGACGAAGACUGACGCUCAGGUGCGAAAGCGUGGGGCAGCAAACAGGAUUAGAUACCCUGGUAGUCCACGCUGUAAACGAUGUCGAUUUUGGAGGUUGUGCCCCUUGAGGCGUGGCUUCCGGAGCUAACGCGUUAAAUCGACCGCCUGGGGAGUACGGCCGCAAGGUUAAAACUCAAAGGAAUUG